UAGGGAAUCUUCCGCAAUGGACGAAAGUCUGACGGAGCAACGCCGCGUGAGUGAUGAAGGUUUUCGGAUCGUAAAGCUCUGUUGUUAGGGAAGAACAAGUGCCGUUCAAAUAGGGCGGCACCUUGACGGUACCUAACCAGAAAGCCACGGCUAACUACGUGCCAGCAGCCGCGGUAAUACGUAGGUGGCAAGCGUUGUCCGGAAUUAUUGGGCGUAAAGGGCUCGCAGGCGGUUUCUUAAGUCUGAUGUGAAAGCCCCCGGCUCAACCGGGGAGGGUCAUUGGAAACUGGGGAACUUGAGUGCAAAAGAGGAGAGUGGAAUUCCACGUGUAGCGGUGAAAUGCGUAGAGAUGUGGAGGAACACCAGUGGCGAAGGCGACUCUCUGGUCUGUAACUGACGCUGAGGAGCGAAAGCGUGGGGAGCAAACA
rnacentral:rRNA from 1 species